CCAAAUAAAGCCAAAAUCAGACCCAAAAUGCAGGACUAAUAUUUCCAAAUGUGACAAUCAUCAAAACAUUUCUUGUCUUUACUUAUGUUAUCCAACACAACAGUAGGCUUCAUUUACACUUGAAAAUCAACACAAUGGUAUCAUACAGCCUAUAGAUUAGUCCCUGAUGAUAUCCAUAUUUCAAUAAUGACAAAAGUUCAGCUAUUGCAACUAAUAUUCAGCAUAUAUUUUUAACAACUAAACCUGAAAGUGCAUACCAGAUCUCCAUCUGCAGCUUAUACUAACAAUAUUAAAAUUCCUAUGACUUCAGUAAUCAAAGAAUCCAUUCAAACUAAGUAGGCUACCAUUAACUCGAAUCAACAGAACCCACAUCUUAUGCAUAUUAGAUACAUAGGAACUUAAGCAAACUUAAUAUUCAGUAUAACAAACUAAGAUUUACAGAGAGAAGGAAUUCAAAUAACAAGCUAAUCAUAUGAACAGCACACAAGACUAAAAUGUCAACUCCAAACUUCUAUUUUUCAUAUUACUUUCAACUUGAAGAUCACUUAUACAGGUUUCAGAAUAUGUACCUGGAAAUUGCACAAAAAGGAAAAGAAGUGACGGACUAGCAAUAAAAUAGUAGCCAGCAAACCAGCAACACCAGUUCCAACGAUUAAAAACCUAGGAAAUCAACUCAGCAAAACCAGUGAAAGAUUAACCCCCAAUCAAAAAACAUUAAUAACCAAAUAUCAAUCCAUUUGAAUAUCAGAAUAGGUACUAUUGUUUUUCAGAAGUAAAGAAAAUCACUGAAAUUCAAUCGAGGAGUAGAACUUUUGGCCUUUUUGUAUUUUUCUGGAAUUCUAUCUCUAAUUUUCUCUGCCUUGAAAGGCAAGAAUAAGGUGCCUUUAUAGGAAAGCAAAUAGAGCAUACCUAAGAGUUCAAUUUUCACUUGUCCCUUUCUAAUUCUUAUUUUGGCUUAGGUGUCCCUGUUUGAUUUUCUAUCAUUCAAAAUAACUCAUUCCCCAACUUCCUAGAAGUUUCCUAGUUAAGAAAGAUUCAUUCUAUCAAAUCUCCCUAAACUACCCUUCAAGAAGUUGAUAUUUACCUUCACAGAAACUCAGUUUAUGGGUCAAAUUAAACUAAGACCCCACCCAACCCAUGGGCUUGCAUACUACAACCCAAACUGAAUUUCCAAACCUUGAACUUAACCGAAACUUUUAAAGAAACAAACUUCCGAAUAUUUUAAACAGAAAAAGAUUUCAAUAGAGAUGCUUGGGAAACAGUAAUUCAAAGCAAUUAAAUCAUCCAUUUAAUCAAAUUAUACUAAGAUACUAAUAUGCUAAUUCCCAUUUUAUUAAACACCAAACUAAACCUGAAUGGAAAAGGGAGAAGACUCAAAAUCCUAAUGACCUAAGGUAGUUCAACUUAUUACUGUUAACAAACUUAAAGUUAGCAGCCUAAAUCAUGAAAUUAAAUAAGAAAUAACACUCGUGAAGAAAGAAACCAAAAAAAAUGAAGCGAAGAUCAGAGAGAAACAAAACAAUCACAAAGAAAAAAAGAAUUACCCCCAUACCUACAUUGGAUAGACCCUUGUAUGAACUUGAACCUUUGACCAACCAAGAAAGUAACAAAGGGAAGAACCUAGGGCUUUUUCAGACCCCUGCUUCAACGUUGAAAGUCCUGGGCUGCUUUGAAAAGAAACGAAAGCUCAGUUCAGGUAGAAAAGGGUGAGGGAUUGCAUGGUGCAAGUUUUGGGUAGAAUUAGGACUUUUAGGGUGUUGGUUCUAGAUCUAAAAUUCGAGGAGCUUAGUGAUAGUUUUAAAUAAACGAGCUGGGGAUUCGGGACGAGGAGAUGGAGGGGAUUAUGCGAUGUGAAUUUAGGCUUGAUUGGCUGUCGGCCGCCACCAUGGGAAAUUUCCGGCAGGCAGCGGUCGAAGGGCGGAGAUCGGCAGACCUUCAGGGUGUGAUAGGGAUGAGAGAUGGGGAGUGGGGUGUCGUUAAGACAUAUAUACAUCUCCUUAGUUUAGAACCGUUAAUGUGAUGAGAUCUAAC
rnacentral:lncRNA from 1 species